rnacentral:miRNA from 1 species
AGAGGCUGAGAAGGUGAUGUUG